CUGCUCACAAUCAAUCUCGGCAUUAACAAUAGUGUGAUUGUCUUCUUCAACUACUCCAAGCACCGCAAAUCACGAACCCCCACAAAAUUGCCAAAACCAUCGUUCCUAACCACUCCUGUGAAAUGACCUCUUCCCUUCCGCCGUUCCACCAACAUCCAAGGGCCAAAGGCCUCCUCCUCCACUCUCUAUUGAAUUCUUGACUUCUUC
rnacentral:lncRNA from 1 species